CAAGGCUGCAUUUUAAAAUGGGGCAAACGUAAGGGUCUGCUUGAUGACAGUUCAAGCCAGUUCAGGGAUAUGAGGCUCUCGCGACAACAGCUAGUGCAGAAAUACCAAUUGAAGACACUCCGCAGUUUCACAGCCAAAACCAUGAACGAAGGUGAGCGAGAUCGAUGCACUUUUAGGGACCUUGUUGAUUAAACUUUCAAACACAAGUAAGCUUGCAAGUUAUUCACGGUGUAAACUUACAAAUCUGAAGCACAGAAUGCGAUACUAUACAACAAGCUUUUAAGGAAAUCAAUUUACUCAUAAAAUUGAUUUUCAUUAGGCUGUUAAAAUGCUACUUGAUUCAAAUCUUGAAGGUUUCUUUGGAAGAGUUCAAAAUAUGAUU